GGAUGUGAGGGCGAUCUGGCUGCGACAUCUGUCUCCCCAUUGAUCGCCAGGGUUGAUUCAGCUGAUCUGGCUGGCAAGGCGGGUGUCCCCUUCCUCCCUCGCCGCUCCAUGUGCGUCCCUCCCGAAGCUGCGUGCUCGCUCAAAGAGGACGACCUUUCCCCAAGUAGAGGAGGAGCGGUCUUCGGUCAAGGGUAUACGAGUAAGUGCGCGCUCCCCUGUAGACCCUCCAAACAAGCUCUCAAGGACCCUGGAGUGAGCAGCAGUAGAGGCCAGGAAAA
rnacentral:snRNA from 1 species